UUGAGAGUUUGAUUCUGGCUCAGAACGAACGCUGGCGGCAGGCUUAACACAUGCAAGUCGAACGAUAUAGUGGCAGACGGGUGAGUAACGCGUGGAAACGUGCCUUUCACUACGGAAUAGCUUUUGGAAACGAAAGGUAAUACCGUAUACGCCCUCCGGGGGAAAGAUUUAUCGGUGAAAGAUCGGUCCGCGUUAGAUUAGCUAGUUGGUGAGGUAACGGCUCACCAAGGCUACGAUCUAUAGCUGGUCUGAGAGGAUG
rnacentral:rRNA from 1 species